AUUGAACGCUGGCGGCAUGCCUAACACAUGCAAGUCGAGCGGAUCGUCGGACGGGUGGGUAAUGCCUAGGAAUCUGCCUGGUAGUGGGGGAUAACGUCCGGAGAGGGGCCCUUCUACCGCAUACGAUCAAAUACGCCUCGGGUGUCUUGGAUCGUUGGUGGGGUAAAGGCCUACCAAGGCGGCGAUCCGUAACUGGUCUGAGAGGAUGAUCAGUCACACUGGAACUGAGACACGGUCCAGACUCCUACGGGAGGCAGCAGUGGGGAAUCUUGGACAAUGGGCGAAAGUCUGAUCGAGCAACGCCGCGUGUGUGAAGAAGGUCUUCGGAUUGUAAAGCACUUUAGUUUGGGAGGCGUUACCAACAGAAUAAGCACCGGCUAACUUCGUGCCAGCAGCCGCGGUAAUAC
rnacentral:rRNA from 1 species